AGAAAUCACCCGUCUUCUGCGUCAAUCACGCUGAGAACUGCAGACCAGAGCUGUUCCUAUUUGGCCAUCUUGGAACCGGUCUGAGUCUGUUUUAGCCAGAUCAAGUACUUGGUGAGAGAACCUUUGUGGGAGCGCAGAAGUCCAGCAGAGAGACCCUAGCACUUUAUUUGGACCAAAAAAUAAAUAAUAAAUAAAUAAAUAAAUAAAUCCAAAACUAGAUGCAUUAAAGAAGCAGACACUUGAAGAAGCAUCUUUCUUGUGAUCUCCUGGCUGGUACCCUGAAGUCCUGUUAUGCCAAUGGACCAGCAACCCUCGCAGGUAGGAAUUACUGCUAGAAAGACUAUCCUCUCUGCAGGCAAAUUUCUGGAAGGAUACUAUUUUAUGGGGAAAAAUGUGAACAACUGUAGGUAAUUUCACAGUCUGUAGGGCUUGUCUCCUAUUUGUAAUUUCUUACAUGUUUACUCGUGGUGGAAAUGUGGAGGUGGCUAAGGAACAAGCAGGCCCGCUGUGUUUCAGUGGCUUUCAGAGAAGGUGGCGGGAAAUAGUCUCUUCUCAGCAGCAGCUGAAUCCCAGUGUUAGCAGACGGAGCCUUGUUUCUUGAAAGUACAUUCCCAGGGAUUCCCUUGAAGAAUGUGAGAGAUCAGCUGGAAUGAAACUGGAUGUUUUAGGGUCCUGAGGGAAAUGUAAAUCCAGCAGCUUAUUCUCAAGAUGUGGCUCCAGAACCAGCAGCACUGAUUCUUCUAAAGAGUUGAGAGUGCAUUUUAGCUGUGAUAUCUUUGUACUCUUAAGAAAUCCUCCUCAACAAGACAAAACUUGACCAAGAGCAUUCAGUUGUCUUCCAGAAGGCUCCCUUGAGGACUGGGACUCUUCCUGGAUGCACCCAAUUAAUCUAUUGAAACAAGGACUCGUGAUGGCAGCCCCUCACCUGACAAACUGGAUUUUCCCCAGAGAUCAUUUGUAAUGUUUUUCCUGAAUCUUAUUUGUGUUUCCCUAUUAGCAAUGUUAUGUAUUUCUAUAUCGCAAAUCCUAAGUGCCGCCUGUAGAACCUAACCUCCAUUUAUAGCAUGGAACACACAGCCCAUCACGUAUCCUUGCCCUGGCCUUCAGCCUCUGAAUAUUUUAAUAAAAAUCACUCUUUCCU
rnacentral:lncRNA from 1 species